UCCAUCAGGUUUCUCCAGCAACGACACAGGUGAGUCAAUGAUGAUAGAACUAAUAUGUCUGAAGUGAUUUGCUUUAAGCUGCAGAAGAAGAGGGUUUUUACCAGCAGACACUAGAUCAUUAGUGUGCAGAUUGUUUGUGCUGUUCCUGCUUAUGUUAAUCUUACCGUGAUCUUGUUGUUCAAGCAGACUGUGACACUUCUUCUGAAGACACAGAUAACAACCUGCUUCUGACCACAGACCUGCCCAGAAUCUGAACCGCUGCCUCUCUGUCAGUACCAUAACUCAGAGUCAGACCCAGAAGUCUAUGGGGUGCCAAAUGUAAAAGUAGCACCUAUAACUAGUUUUCUCACAUUUAACUAAAUGACACAUGUUUUCUCACAUUUAGUUAAAUGUGCAAAAGUCUAAAUGUAAAUGUUAAAUAUAAAUGUAAAUGUUAAAUCUAAAUGUUAAA